UUGACAAUCUGAUUGUGAAGGCAUACUUUCAGGAGUGAGGGUAGAGCGGGGUUUCCCCCGCCCUGGUAGUCUUAGUAAGCCGGGAAGCUUAUGACUAAGAGCACCACGAUGAUGAUCCACUUCAUCAUGACCCUUUCCUUAUU
rnacentral:sRNA from 3 species